AUGGGACCAGUCCGUCUUGACGCGGCCGCCCUGCGUGGCCCAGUCAUCUGCGUUCCAGAGGCUGGAAUAGAGGCGCAUCGGCUGGUUCUUGGGGAAGGCGAUCCCUUUUCCCUCCAGGUUCCUGAAGUCCCUGAUCGGCAUGUCGUCCACCAUGAAGCUGUAUUUAAGUACACCAUGAUCGAAAGAAACGGAGCAACAGCUUACAUGAUGUGCUUGGGGUUCCAGAGGAUGGAGUAG
rnacentral:rRNA from 1 species